rnacentral:rRNA from 1 species
AUGGACUAUGGUGAGACAUACGCCCCCGUUGCUAGACUUGAGUCCAUUCGCAUCUUACUUGCCUAUGCUAAUCACCAUGAUAUCACCUUGUACCAAAUGGAUAUCAAAAGUGCUUUUCUAAAUGGUGAAAUUGAGGAGGAAGUUUAUGUUAAACAACCUCCCAGCUUUGUCAAUCCUAAGAAACCCGACCAUAUUUACAAACUUCAUAAAGCUCUUUAUGGUCUUAAACAAGCUCCUAGAGCGUGGUAUAAAUGCUUGACCAAGUUCCUUACUGAAAAAGGCUUUGAGAUUGGAAAGAUAGAUUCUACUCUUUUCACUAAAGGGGUUAAUGGUGAAUUAUUUGUCUGCCAAAUUUAUGUUGAUGAUAUCAUAUUUGGUUCGACUAACCCUCAUUUCAGUGAAAAGUUUGGAAGCUAA